rnacentral:tRNA from 1 species
GGGGUUGUGGCUCAGUGGUAGAGCGCUUGCCUAGCAUGCAUGAGGCAUUGAAUUCGGUCCUCAGCACCA